CUCCUUCCGGUUCAGACCUCUGCGUUUGUUGGUGCUGCACGCCAGCUGCAAAUGAAUGCAUGCACUUAAACAAUGCGCUUAACGGCAUACUGAUUGUGGACCAAUCGUCCUUCGGACUGCCAGUACAAGCUUCCCACGCUUUCCUCCCUGUAAGAGGCACUACUUAAAGAGCUCAGUGGAACGGUCAGCUCGUGGUGUUGGUGGUGGACUUCUGGGUGGUGGUUCCUCUUCUGGUUUGGUGCAUGAUUUUCUUUUGCUUUGCCUAGUUCUGUUUGCUGUGUUUAUUUUUUUUCUUUUUUGUACCCUACCCUGAAUUUCACUCCUCACAGAGUUACGCUUGAAAAAAUUUUUAAAUGUGAGGUUUUAAUUUAGUCUUUUUGAA